GAGAAGACGUAGCGUACACCCACCACCUCCAGGGCAGAAGUGGAAGAGGAGUGGAAGAGGAGUGGAGAAGACGUAGCGUACACCCACCACCUCUCUCCCACACCAGGGAUUAUUGGCCGUGGUCCGUUGCCAAGAUCAUGUUAGUGCCUCGGGGUGGACAAAGGUAAACAGAUUAUGGCUGCUGCAUCUGCACCAGUCACUGGAAUUGGCCUGUUUUCUAGCUAAUAGAUAACCGACUACAACCCCAUCAUUCACGGCUAUUGAUUCAAAGCAACCACAGGACCUGAGCCCUAGGACCAUGCCUCAGGACUACCUGGCAUGAUGACUCCUUGCUGUCCCCAGUCCACCUGGCCAUGCUGCUGCUCCAGUCUCAACUGUUCUGCCUGCGGCUAUGGAACCCUGACCUGAUCACCGGACGUGCUACCUGUCCCAGACCUGCUGUUUUCAACUCUCUAGAGACAGCAGGAGCGGUAGAGAUAUUCUUAAUGAUCGGCUAUGAAAAGCCAACUGACAUUUACUCCUGAGGUGCUGACUUGCUGCACCCUUGACAACUACUGUGAUUAUUAUUAUUUGACCAUGCUGGUCAUUUAUGAACAUUUGAACAUCUUGGCCAAGUUCUGUUAUAAUCUCCACCCGGCACAGCCAGAAGAGGACUGGCCACCCCUCAUAGCCUGGUUCCUUUCUAGGUUUCUUCCUAGGUUUUGGCCUUUCUAGGAGUUUUUCCUAGCCACCGUGCUUCUACACCUGCAUUGCUUGCUGUUUGGGAUUUUAGGCUGGGUUUCUGUACAGCACUUUGAGAUAUCAGCUGAUGUAAGAAGGGCUAUAGAAAUACAUGUGAUUUGAUUUGAUUUAUGCUAGAAUACAAAAUCCUAGAUGUUUAUUUAUUUAACCCUAUAAUUCUUAUAGUUUUACGUACCGGAGAUUCAUGUAUUUUAUUUCCUCUAUUUUUCUGAUGGUAAGGCUGUUCAAACUGUUCAACCCCCCCCCCACCCAAGUAACAUAAGGACAAUCUACCAUUGCACACAUUUUUAUUAAUAUUUAUACCCAAAGAAACACUGAGAUCUUUCAUUCUUAAUGUAGAACAACUGCGUAGCCUGUCAUUCCUAAUUAUUAUGUCACCAUAGACAAAGGGUAAAUAUCUGCAGUUUAUCAACAUGCCUUUGAUUGAGGAUGACUUGGCAUAUUUCUACAUCACUCGUUUUCUUCCCAUUACAAUAGCUUAACCCCCCCCCCAAAACAGAACAUUCCCUCUAAUGAUGUAAGUUAUUAGGCCCACAAGAGUACCUCAUUUCGAGAUUAUGAAGGUGCAGUCAACGGAUGACUUCAGAAGCAUCCAACAAGCGUGACAAGUGCUGUGGGUAAUUGUAUUUUGUGGGGCUGAGAAAAUGGUCCCAAUUGGAGCAUGUGUAAAUUCUCCAAGUCACACUGUCAAAUGACUGUAUGUUUCUGUAAAAAGCCGAGUGAUGCCAGAAUUCUUUCCAUUACACAGUGAGAAUGAGAGUGUUCCGGAUGACAUCAUAGAGCUCCAUGUCUCUGCUCUGUGCUAGCUAGGAGUGGCGAAUGUAACAGCUGGUUUUUAUGUCACUCAUACAGCCUCUGUAACAUCCUGUCAGGUACUCUUCCUUAUGAGGGUCUGCAUGCGACUCAACAUCCCAGGAUAUCUCGGAAACGUAAAUGUUAUGCCAUGUUUGGAGUCACCAAGGCGUACGCUAAGGGAAAAAUCCGGCGUGUUUCCGAUUUUAAUGCCUACAUCAGAGCGGGUAACCAAACCAAGAUGUGUUCAAGCACAAUGUUGUUCCAUCCAAAAGAUGACUUCAGGUCUCAGGCCUGUGACUCACCAGAUACAAAAACAAGUUGAUUUAUCAGAGUCACUUAAUCCCUUUGUUUGCACAUCGUUUGUAAGCAUAUGCUGAUGUUGUCUUUUAAAACAAACAUUUGUACUUCUGUGUCAAAUACUCCAAGAAGACAACAGACACGCCUUUAUGUUCAACAGAGUCCAUCUCGGAAUGAAUUUGACUUUAUACUGUAAAUCACAACAGUCAGCCUUUGUAAGUCGCUCUGGAUAAGAGCGUCUGCUAAAUGACUUAAAUGUAAAUGUUUAAAGUCUUGCUAAGAAGUGACAACACAGUAAUCAUCAGGCAUGAGAAGUGACAACACAGUAAUCAUCAGGCAUGCGAAGUGACAACACAGUAAUCAUCAGGCCUGAGAAGUGACAACACAGUAAUCAUCAAGCAUGAGAAGUGACAACACAGUAAUCAUCAGGCAUGCGAAGUGACAACACAGUAAUCAUCAGGCCUGAGAAGUGACAACACAGUAAUCAUCAGGCAUGCGAAGUGACAACACAGUAAUCAUCAAGCAUGAGAAGUGACAACACAGUAAUCAUCAGGCAUGUGAAGUGACAACGCAGUAAUCAUCAAGCAUGAGAAGUGACAACACAGUAAUCAUCAAGCAUGAGAAGUGACAACACAGUAAUCAUCAAGCAUGAGAAGGGACAACACAGUAAUCAUCAAGCAUGUGAAGUGACAACCCAGUAAUCAGGCAUGAGAAGUGACAACACAGUAAUCAUCAAGCAUGAGAAGUGACAACACAGUAAUCAUCAAGCAUGUGCGUCAUAAGCAUGUGCAUUUCCAACCAAUCAAAUUGAGUUGAUUGGUUUCUCUAAGCCCCUAGAUUUCCACUUCUCAGAACCUACCACACCCCUCUCCUCUCUUUCUCUACUUAGCCAGUGGCUGUACUCUAGUCACAGUAAAGCAGGAAGAGAGGGUCAUUUUCCUGGUGAUGUCACUGGCCCCUAAGGCUCCUAGCUCCAGCGUGGGAGAUGAGCGAGGGGAACGUGUGA